UACGUAGGGUGCGAGCGUUGUCCGGAAUUACUGGGCGUAAAGCGUGCGUAGGUGGUUCGUUAAGUCUGAUGUGAAAGCCCUGGGCUCAACCUGGGAAUGGCAUUGGAAACUGGCGACCUAGAGUGCGGUAGAGGGUAGUGGAAUUCCCGGUGUAGCAGUGAAAUGCGUAGAGAUCGGGAGGAACAUCCGUGGCGAAGGCGACUACCUGGACCAGCACUGACACUGAGGCACGAAAGCGUGGGGAGCAAACAGG
rnacentral:rRNA from 1 species